rnacentral:rRNA from 1 species
AACGCUGGCGGCGUGCUUAACACAUGCAAGUCGAACGCGAAAGGGACUUCGGUCCUGAGUAAAGUGGCGCACGGGUGAGUAACGCGUAGAUAACCUGUCUUCAUGUCUGGAAUAAUACGCCGAAAGGGGUACUAAUACCGGAUAUUCUUGCUUUUCAUAAGUUAUGCAAGCAAAGGUGGCCUCUGCAUAUGCUACUGCAUGAAGAGGGGUCUGCGUACCAUUAGCUAGUAGGUGGGGUAAUGGCCUACCUAGGCGACGAUGGUUAGCGGGUCUGAGAGGAUGAUCCGCCACACUGGCACUGGAACACGGGCCAGACUCCUACGGGAGGCAGCAGUGAGGAAUAUUGCGCAAUGGGGGAAACCCUGACGCAGCGACGCCGCGUGAGUGAAGGAAGGCCUUCGGGUCGUAAAGCUCUGUCAAGAGGAAAGAAGUGUACAAUGGCUAAUACCUGUUGUAUUUGACGGUACCUCUAAAGGAAGCACCGGCUAACUCCGUGCCAGCAGCGGC